rnacentral:piRNA from 1 species
UAAUAGGAAAACGCUUUGUGUUGGAUG